rnacentral:lncRNA from 1 species
GCCAAAGCAAUUUUAGAUUAGAUUAAUUAGAAAAGCGUGGGCAUCUUAAUUAUAUCACUGUAGAAACAAAGCAAUAUCAACUUACUAUUUUCAGUCAGGACAACAGAUCAAAUUAGACAGGGUAUUUUGCUUCAGAAGAUUUACGCAAACAGAUCAUAGCAUGAAAGAAGCUGGGGGAUGAAUUAGAUUUUUGCAAAGAUUAAUUGCAACAUUAACUAAACUAAACAAAAUCAGUGUGAGGCAAGAUCACGCAAGUGGGUCUAAUCAAUUUUGAGUGAAUUUAAAGCAGUAAUAUUUGAUGGAUUUGAUUGUUAAAACAUCUGUCACAUAUAUUUCCCAGAGUUACUCCUGCUGCUUCAUUGCCUCUCCCCAGAGAAGCCACUUUGGGCGUUCAACAAUCAAGUUCAAGAACUGGUCUAUCAUCUGCUUCAAAUCAGCCUAUGGUGAUUAA